rnacentral:rRNA from 1 species
AGCCUAACGGCUGAACCAGCAAUUUGGAGGAAUGUAUAGUAAUAGCUAAUUGUGUAAUAUUAUGCAAUAUCGAUAAAUCGAAUAAAAUUCUGAGUAAAUCUAGAUGAUGACUUAAUUUACUCACAGGUCUUGACUAAAUUGCGUGCCAGCAGUCGCGGUAAGACGUAUAAGACUAGUGUUAUUCAUCUUUAGCAGGUUUAAAGGGUACUUAGACGGCAGAUUAAGCCAUAGAAGGGACUAAUCUGCUAGAGUUACUUAUAAAGGAGCUAUAAAGUACUGAUGGUGUAGAGAUAAAAUGCUAAUAUACCUUUUUUUCGAAAGAAUUAACAAUGGCACUGGUAAAGGCGAAAGCAUCUCCUUAUUAGAUAACUGACGUUAAAGGACGAAGGCUUAGUAUCUCGAAUAGGAUUAGAUACCCUAGUAGUCUAAGCAGAGAAUAAUGAGUGUCAUAGACUAGAACAAAUUUAGUCUAUUAAUGAAAGUGUAAACACUCCACCUUAAGAGUAAUGUGGCAACACCGAAAUUGAAAUCAUUAGACCGUUUCUGAAACCAGUAGUGAAGUAUGUUGUUUAAUUUGAUGAUCCGCAAAAAACCUUACCACAACUUGAAUAUGUAUAUAUAAUAUAUAUACUUGUUUAUAUAUUUACAAGCGUUGCACGGCUGUCUUAAGUUAAUGUCGUGAGAAUUUGGUUAAUUCCAUUAAAUUGACGUAAACCCCUGUUUUACUUUAAAGUAAAAUGGUUCACCCUUAUAUUGGAUAUGAUAAUAGGGAAGAAGACAAGUCAUCAUGGCCUGAAUGUUGU